rnacentral:piRNA from 1 species
UAAUCAAGUCACUGAUGAAGAAGGUC